UUCCCUGUAUAUUGCACCGCACAUUCAGCA
rnacentral:sRNA from 1 species